UACGUAGGGGGCAAGCGUUGUCCGGAAUUAUUGGGCGUAAAGCGCGCGCAGGCGGUCAUUUAAGUCUGGUGUAUAAUCCUAGGGCUCAACCUUGGGUCGCACUGGAAACUGGAUGACUUGAGUGCAGAAGAGGAGAGUGGAAUUCCACGUGUAGCGGUGAAAUGCGUAGAGAUGUGGAGGAACACCAGUGGCGAAGGCGACUCUCUGGGCUGUAACUGACGCUGAGGCGCGAAAGCGUGGGGAGCAAACAGG
rnacentral:rRNA from 1 species